rnacentral:rRNA from 1 species
UACGUAGGGGGCAAGCGUUAUCCGGAUUCAUUGGGCGUAAAGCGCGCGUAGGCGGCUUGUUAAGCGAGGAGUGAAAUCUGGGGGCUCAACCCGCAGACUGCUUCUCGAACUGACAGGCUUGAGUCUGGUAGAGGAAAGUGGAAUUCCUGGUGUAGCGGUGAAAUGCGCAGAUAUCAGGAGGAACACCAGUGGCGAAGGCGGCUUUCUGGGCCACGACUGACGCUGAGGCGCGAAAGCUAGGGGAGCGAACAGGAUUAGAUACCCUGGUAGUCCUAGCCGUAAACGAUGGGCACUAGGUGUGGGGGGUCAUCGACUCCCUCCGUGCCGAAGCUAACGCAUUAAGUGCCCCGCCUGGGGAGUACGGCCGCAAGGCUAAA